rnacentral:rRNA from 1 species
AUGAACGCUGGCGGCUUGCCUAAUACAUGCAAGUCGAGCGAACAGACGAGGAGCUUGCUCCUCUGACGUUAGCGGCGGACGGGUGAGUAACACGUGGAUAACCUACCUAUAAGACUGGGAUAACUUCGGGAAACCGGAGCUAAUACCGGAUAAUAUAUUGAACCGCCUGGUUCAAUAGUGAAAGACGGUUUUGCUGUCACUUAUAGAUGGAUCCGCGCCGCAUUAGCUAGUUGGUAAGGUAACGGCUUACCAAGGCAACGAUGCGUAGCCGACCUGAGAGGGUGAUCGGCCACACUGGAACUGAGACACGGUCCAGACUCCUACGGGAGGCAGCAGUAGGGAAUCUUCCGCAAUGGGCGAAAGCUUGACGGAGCAACGCCGCGUGAGUGAUGAAGGUCUUCGGAUCGUAAAACUCUGUUAUUAGGGAAGAACAAAUGUGUAAGUAACUAUGCACGUCUUGACGGUACCUAAUCAGAAAGCCACGGCUAACUACGUG